AUAUCUGAUGAGGAUCAGAUUCUCUACAUCCUUGGAGGUCUACCUCAAGACUACAAUCCAGUAAUUGUGUCGAUUUCGUCCAGAUGCGAACCUUGGACUGUACAAGAAGUAAGUGCACUUCUUUUGAGUUUUGAAU